AAUGUCUGGGCUUAGCGAGGCGGU
rnacentral:miRNA from 1 species